rnacentral:rRNA from 1 species
UAUCUCUGUAGAGUCUGCAUAUCAAUAAGCGGAGGAAAAGAAACUAACUAGGAUUCCCUCAGUAACGGCGAGUGAAGCGGGAAGAGCUCAAAUUUGAAAUCUUCAAGGUUUACCUUGACGAAUUGUAGUUUAAAGAAGUGUUUUCUGUUGGAGUUUUGGUAAAAGUUCUUUGGAAUAGGACAUCAUAGAGGGUGAGAAUCCCGUAUUUGAUUAUUCAUUCUAGCUUUGUGAUACACUUUCAAAGAGUCGGAUUGUUUGGGAAUGCAGUCCAAAAUGGGUGGUAAAUUUCAUCUAAAGCUAAAUAUUGGCGAGAGACCGAUAGCGAACAAGUACCGUGAGGGAAAGAUGAAAAGAACUUUGAAAAGAGAGUUAAACAGUACGUGAAAUUGUCAAAAGGGAAGCGUUUGACACCAGUGUUGUUUUUCCGAAAAUCAAUUACGAAUGGCUUGAUUCUGUGUUGUAUUGACCUUAUCAGCUUUCUUCACUUUUUUCGAGUCUUUCUUAAUGCACUUUUCGGUUAACAAGUCAACAUCAAUUUCUUUUGUUGUAAAAGAGUAUUCGGAAGGUGGCUUUCUUUUCGGAGAAAGUGUUUAUAGCCCUAUACUUCUACAAUCGGAGAGAUUGAGGUCUGCAGCGUAGAUCCUUCGGGGUUAGAUACACUUGUGCUAAGUUGUAGCUUUUCAUAGACAACUUGUUGACUAUGUUUAGUCAUGCGGCUUACUCGCUUGUGCUAUUUUACCUACGCUUAGGAUGUUGAAGAUGUAGCACAUCAU